CAGUCGCCGCGGUAAUACGUAGGGUGCAAGCGUUAAUCGGAAUUACUGGGCGUAAAGCGUGCGCAGGCGGUUUCGUAAGACAGAUGUGAAAUCCCCGGGCUUAACCUGGGAACUGCAUUUGUGACUGCGAGGCUAGAGUGUGUCAGAGGGGGGUGGAAUUCCACGUGUAGCAGUGAAAUGCGUAGAUAUGUGGAGGAACACUGAUGGCGAAGGCAGCCCCCUGGGAUAACACUGACGCUCAUGCACGAAAGCGUGGGGAGCAAACAGGAUUAGAUACCCCCGUAGUCCCUGUCUCUUAUAC
rnacentral:rRNA from 1 species